rnacentral:tRNA from 1 species
GCCCUUGUGGCACAGAGGUCCAGUGCAUCCGCCUUCUACCAAAAUUGGCAGCGGAAGGUCCAGAGUUCGAUCCUCUGCUGGGGUU